rnacentral:rRNA from 1 species
AUGGAGCCGACCUUGAAAUACCACCCUUUAAUGUUUGAUGUUCUAACGUUGACCCGUAAUCCGGGUUGCGGACAGUGUCUGGUGGGUAGUUUGACUGGGGCGGUCUCCUCCUAAAGAGUAACGGAGGAGCACGAAGGUUGGCUAAUCCUGGUCGGACAUCAGGAGGUUAGUGCAAUGGCAUAAGCCAGCUUGACUGCGAGCGUGACGGCGCGAGCAGGUGCGAAAGCAGGUCAUAGUGAUCCGGUGGUUCUGAAUGGAAGGGCCAUCGCUCAACGGAUAAAAGGUACUCCGGGGAUAACAGGCUGAUACCGCCCAAGAGUUCAUAUCGACGGCGGUGUUUGGCACCUCGAUGUCGGCUCAUCACAUCCUGGGGCUGAAGUAGGUCCCAAGGGUAUGGCUGUUCGCCAUUUAAAGUGGUACGCGAGCUGGGUUUAGAACGUCGUGAGACAGUUCGGUCCCUAUCUGCCGUGGGCGCUGGAGAACUGAGGGGGGCUGCUCCUAGUACGAGAGGACCGGAGUGGACGCAUCACUGGUGUUCGGGUUGUCAUGCCAAUGGCACUGCCCGGUAGCUAAAUGCGGAAGAGAUAAGUGCUGAAAGCAUCUAAGCACGAAACUUGCCCCGAGAUGAGUUCUCCCUGACCCUUUAAGGGUCCUGAAGGAACGUUGAAGACGACGACGUUGAUAGGCCGGGUGUGUAAGCGCAGCGAUGCGUUGAGCUAACCGGUACUAAUGAACCGUGAGGCUUAACC